CACUUCUGAAAUCCCUCAGUUUCGGCUCCCAUAUGAUGUCGUGAAUUUUGAGAUUGAGCUCAUGAAGGACCUUGGUGUCAAGAUAAUUUGUGGUAAAAGCAUUUCCACAGAUGAAAUGACUCUUAGUACUUUGAAAGAAAAUGGCUACAAAGCUGCUUUUAUUGGAAUAGGUUUGCCAGAACCCAAAAAGGACCAUAUUUUCCAAGGCUUGACACAAGUCCAGGGAUUUUACACAUCCAAAGACUUUUUGCCACUUGUCGCCAAAGGUAGCAAACCAGGAAUGUGCGCCUGUCACUCUCCAUUGCCAUCCGUGAGGGGAGCCGUGAUUGUACUCGGAGCUGGGGACACUGCGUUUGACUGUGCAACAUCCGCUCUGCGCUGCGGAGCACGUCGCGUGUUCAUCGUCUUCAGAAAGGGCUUUGCUAAUAUUCGAGCUGUUCCAGAGGAGGUGAAG
rnacentral:lncRNA from 1 species